UGAAAGGCGAAACGUAAUGUGAAUCGCAACUAACAGUGAAUCAUUGAAUCUUUGAACGCAGGCCGCACCUGUAGCUAUGAACUCCAUAGUACUAGGUAUCUACAUAUAAGUGUCAGCCAAAAUAUAGCUAUGGUUCAUAAGUGCAUGAUGAUUAUGAAUACACACUGUCACUUGUAAGACAUAUCUUGAAACAAUAAAUGUGUCUGGCCUUAUAUGUGGAAGAUUACCCGCUGAAUUUAA
rnacentral:misc_RNA from 1 species